AUGUCCCUGCCUUCAUCUCCUUCUUUGGCGAGAGGCGGCAAAGUUGGCACCGAGGUUGUUCAAGCAUCGGUGGACCAAAAGAUGACAUCGAUGGACCAAAAGAUGACAUCGAUGAAGCAUCUCGUGCUCAACCUUUGCGACCCUACGCUACGCGAGAGAUCCCUCGCAGAGCUCUCUCAGAUGAGGGAGAUGUUUCCGGAUCUGGCUCCUUUGUUGUGGUACUCAUUCGGCACAGUUGCUGCGUUGGUCCAGGAGAUUCUUAGAAUCUACCCUGCACUUUCGCCUCCAACUUUAACGUCGGCUGCAUCAACCCAAGUCUGCAAUGUGCUUGCACUUUUUCAGUGCAUUGCAUCACUCCCUGAGACCAGAAGCCCUUUCAUAGAAGCUGAUAUUCCAUUGUACCUGUACCCAUUCUUGCGUACCGUCGACAAGGCCCAACCUUUUGAGCAGUUGCGGCUCGCCACUUUGGGUGUCAUUGGUGCUCUAGUAAAGGAUGAGAAUGCUGAAGCUGCUGAGUAUUUGCUCCAACGUGAAACCAUUCCUUUGUGCUUGAACAUCAUGGAGAUGGGCAAUGAGCCUUCAAAAACCGUGUCCACUUUCAUUCUCCUAAAGGUUCUGCUAACCAAAGUUGGUUUGGAGCAAUGUUGCGACACUCGCGGUCCUUUCUAUGCUAUUGCUUUUGCUUUACAAAAAAGGGUUGACUCACCAGAUGAACGGCCUUCGGCAAGGUUGCUGAAGUGCAUUAUCCGGUGUUACCUUAGGCUAUUUGAUCAUCGUAGGGGCCGUGCGGUGCUUAAAACAAAUCUCCCCAGCGUGAUACGAGAUGGGACAUUCAAUGGCUACCUCAUGGGGGAUCCUUCAGCACAAGAAUGUCUGCAGAAACUGUUGGCUGCCUUUCACGGCUGCAACGACAACGCCAUCGUGCCAUGA
rnacentral:rRNA from 1 species